rnacentral:lncRNA from 1 species
AGGGGUAGGUCAAAGAGAGGAAUGUCCUGUGCUUUCAUCGUGAGUAGUGUUCCAUGGAGGUCGAGAAGGGAAAUGUUAAUAGGAACAGCUGCUAAUAAUGGUUGGGAGAGAGAAGCACAGAAAAGGUAUUGGGAGGAAUUGGGGUGGGUUGUUAAGGGAAGAAGGUCAGCUGCAAAUUGGAUGUACUAUAGCCAGGAGAGGGUAGCUCGCAGCACCUUCAGAGACUGAUUUUCCUGUUGCAUAAUAUUAGCAUGGGUAAAGGCUGAUUUGGAGGCAGGACCAAGCUCAUGGGAGAUGUGCAGGUCAGCAACUGGAUGUUUGGCAUAGCCAUUGGGUUAAAGUUUACCCAUGACUCCCGUCUGCCAACGUUCAUCCCAUGGAUCGCUGAUGGAAAGAUGAAAAUGAAUUUUAAGGUUGGUGAGCUUGGUGCUACCAUGACCGGUGGAUUCCAUUCUGCAGCUCCAGUAUCUGCAACCUCCAUAUGUAGAGACCUCCUGGAGACUUUCACCCGUGUUUUGGGGAAAAUACUUGAAAACAUUGGUCUUAUGAAAUAUGAAGAAUUUUUGUCCUUAUUUGUGAGAAUGCAGCUGACAAAACCAGUUUCAGAUGAAAACAUCACAGUGAUUGACACAGACUUCAGUGACAUCCCUGUUCGCCUGUAUUUACCCAAAAGGAAAUCUGAAAGGCAGAGACCAGCUGUCAUUUAUAUUCAUGGUGGUGCCUUUACCCUAGGAAGCUGCAGUAAGUUUGUUUUUUUGACAUAAGAAUUAAUUACAUUGCAUCUAGCUAUUCUGAAGUGAGCUUUUGCUUCUCGUGGCCUUACCACAGUUUUUACUGCAAUGAGUUCCUUCUUCCCUUGAGCACUUAAUAGCAGUCAUUAUGUUUGUGUUUAUAUAAUGAAGACCAUUUAACGCUCCAAGUGAAUUGGUUUCCAUUUAUGUGUAGAAGGAAUUUUGACGUAGCUUUCUGCUCAGGUGUUAACCACAAAUUUUAGCCUUCUUUUUAUCUUCUUCCUUGUGAGUAUGUAACAGAGAAGAGCACACCAAUUGGUUAUCCAAUAUCAAAUUGUUAGUAACAUUAUACAGAUUAAGCAGGUUAUAUUUAGAACUAUAUGUAGGUAUAUACAUACAAAAAUAUGCAUGUAACAACAAUUAAAAUGAUCAUGAAUUUGAAAGAGAGAAAAGAGAGGUAUUUGGGAGACUUCAGAAGGAGAAAAGUAAAAGAGAAAUUAUGUAAUUGCAUUAUAAUAUCAAAUAUUUUUAAAAAGUUAAAAUGUACAAAAUUAGAAAUAAGAAAGUCUUAAAACAGUAAUUAUGGCAAAAAUCUGAAUUUACGAAAAUAAAAAUUCUGGUUAAGCUCAACUUUUUCUAACCACAGUUGUAGGAAAUAUACUAUCAAGGAGUUACAGAGUCAAGGCAUAACUUUUUUCUCUCUUGAGAAAUAAAGUAUUCAACCAAAGACCAUGGAAAACAAUGUACCUAUUGGUAAUCAAGCAUUUUUACUAUGCACAUAGUUCCUGCUAAUGGGUCAUCAUGAGUGCAAUAUUGCCUGAUAUAGUUUCUAUCAGUUUUGCUUAAUCAAAAGGCUUCUCCACACAAAACUGACUCAGAGAGAAGCAGAGUGUAAUGCAUGGGGACCUAUCUACACCAAUGUCAUCUCUUCAAUGGAGCAAUACCUUGAAAGUGGAGAAAUUGUUCUGUUUAUCCCAAAGUAGGCUAGCAAAUACAACAAGGUUCUCCCAUUGUGACCAACCAGAUUUUGCCUAACUAUAGUGACUACAAAAAAUAUAUGGGUGUUACAUGAUUAAUUCUUAGAGUUAUCAUCAGUUCAUCACAGUUCACAUUUUUGUAGCCAUUCUUAGUGUUUCCACUGCUGGAUAAUCCACCAAGCACAGUUGUGUUUUUAUCUUUCUCAUUUCAGAGAUGCUUCCCUAUGACUACCUGAACCGAUGGACAGCAAACAAGCUUGAUGCUGUUGUUGUGGGAAUAGAGUAAGAAAACGUAAUUUUCAUGCUAUGGUCAUAGUCUUCCCAGAAUAGGCUUAGUUUAGAAAACAAGUCAACUAAACCUCC